GAAGAGCAGAGAGGAGGAGGAGGAGGAGGAGGAAGAGGAGGAGGUGGGCAGCAGCACAGUUUCAGCUCUCAGAAGACUGAGGAGGAGAAAAAGUGACGGCAGCUAGAACUUGGCCACUAGUGAGAUGAAAUUCGGGGAGGAGACGCUGCUGGAGCGCUGCAGGGUACGACAUCCAACGAGAGCCCGAAAAUUGGACCACAAACCAGCCCUGUUUGGAUCCUGUGUCCCUCAACAGCCGAAGGAUGAGAGGGCUCCACUUUCACCCUAGUUGCCAGGGAUGUCUGUGCACUACGGAAAGACGUCCCCCUCCAGCAUGUCCAAUGCUAUGUUAUUCCUGAUGCUUUGUAAGAUUGGUCUGAGAAGUAAACUGCAGAUUUUUCCAGGGAAAAUGGUAAAUACUGUCUACAGUGAUGAGGAAAAGGGAACCCAAGACAAGGAAAGCAAGGAGGAGAGCAUCCUGGCCAUGUUGGGCAUCAUUGGGACCAUUCUCAACUUGGUAGUCAUCAUCUUCGUCUACAUCUACACCACCUUGUAGGUCUCACGCUUCCUUGGUUUUGGAUCAGACACCCACCUCGCAGAUAUGUUGACUAUCUCGGACUCAAGGAUGGAGGAAACGAGUACGAGGUCUGGAUUUCCCAUCUCUGAACUGAAUCUAAGACUAUGUGUCGGUCAUACGCCGUUUGACCAUCAUCACAUUAGACUGAGACAACGGAAAAGUGGUCUACUCUCCUGCUGCGAUCCCAGUUUAGAGGUAGAAUUAUCCAGAAUAUCUGGAUGCCUUUGACUUGUACAUAAAUGCAUGAAGACGAUGAGAGACGCUCCAGUGAUGCAGCUUUUACCGACGGAAAAGAGACACAAAAGACUGCAGCGAGAGAGGAAAGUUUUCAAAACUAUUUUUCAGAUGUUCUUACCAACUGAAAUAUGGGAUUAUAGAAUUAUCUAAUUUGGGAUUAAAGACGAAGAUGUACAGUGGAAGUACACACAGGUAUCCGCAUUGCUGUUUAUUAUAUUUUCUUAAUAAUUAUCUCAAUAAAACACUGUCUACUAAUUUAAGAUCUGAGCAGACGUGGUUAGGGUUAUCCAGUGUUUUCCUACUGAAUUUCUCACUUUUUUGGAAUAGUAGUUUUAAUUGAGACUGAAUCACUGAUCACCUGAAAAUUACACAUGAUUCUAAGCAUUUGCAGAAACAAGAGGUGGUCUUUUUAAACACCGUUAUGUCAGAUUAAAGUGGAACGCUUAAUGGGUGCACUUGGCUUUAUGCUCGAUAUAAAAUGGUGAAAGGUCAGACGUAGUUACAGACAAAACGGCUUAAUUAUGUGAUUUUCAGAGUUUUAAAAGCUUCACUUCAGCCUCAACAGUCGUUUUUUAGUCACAUGCAGCUACUUGAUAUUUAAAGUAAACAUUGAGUCUUUCUAUAAUUUCCAGCAUGAGUAUAUUUUAACAUGCACAUUUACAGACAUCGGACGUUAUACACUGUCCGUCCACUUACAUACUGUAUAUGUACAUAAAGCUGACUUGGUUGGGAGCGUAGUCUGCAUUUUUCAUUCAUACAUUGAUCUCGGUUUGUGCAUCACUUACUUGUGCAUAAUGACUGUAUGCCUUAAAACUUGAGGAAAUGGAUAUUUCCAUGAUGUAUAAAAUAAUCAGGUUAUUGCUACUUUGUGAGAGGUUUGACUUGCUGUAUAUACUUCGAGUUUAAUGCCAGUGUCAUGUUGUUUUGUUUUGUUUUUUUUGCUAUUGGUGAAAGGUUAUUUUAAUGGGUUGUUUUCUAAAAGUACCCCGCUUUUGUCUUAAGCAUCAAGCAAAAUGUUCAGUUCAUGAAAUGUGACUCUUGUUUCACUUCUAGUGAUCUUUAUCCUUUUCUGUGGUGUAAGACAGGUGUGAGUUUUGACACACUGGACAAUACUGUGAAUGUUGUGAACUUUCUAUUAUCACAGGAACGUUUUCAAUUAACUUUUGGUAUGUUACCCUUUAAAUUACUUAGCAGACACUGUGUUUGUUCUUAAUGUCUUACACACCAUCAAUCUAAUCUCAGAGAUGAAAAAGGUUCUUCAUGUUUUUUUAUUUAUUUAUUAUUUUUUUCUAAAUAGAGCUGGAAAUAAAAUAAAGCUGUAUAUUGGUUAACUAUAAAAUAGGACGCAGCACAGUGCAUUAUUAUAUUCAUUAAUUAAAUCACUUAAAUUACAUUAAAGCAGCUAUUCCCAAAAUAGAUAUCACCUUCCAAGUUGAAAAGUGAAAAUAUUCCGUCAACAAACCCUUUAUUCACUAUUCUAAUCAACACAAGACUAAGAUGUUCAAAUACUGAAGAUUUAUUUUGUUUCAUGAAAUGAACAAUUAAGCCUGUACAUGCAAUUUUACAUGACUUAUCUACAUCUUUUUUUUUUUUUUUUUUACCACAUAUAAUGAUGUUAAGAGUCUUGACCAAGGAUUUAGAAAUGUAAAUUAUGGUAUAAAACCCAGUAAGUUUCUUAUUGAGAAAGCACACCUAUGCAUCUUCAAAAUAAUUGUUCAUACGCAUGAUCUAACAAUUUAUAAAGCAAUAAAUAUAUUUUCCUGCAUUCAUGUAGGUAGUUAAUUCUUAGAAAGGCCUCUAUCAUCUCUGAAAGAGUAUAAUAACCUGCUUACAUUUAAAAUGUCUCAAUUUUUAAGUCAGUAAUAAGAAUAGAAGCAAAUAUUGAACAUUAAAUCGGGUCUAUAAAAUAAUACAAUCACAGCACAAUUUCAAUCCCACGGCUAUUUCUUUUGUAUCUACUCAUAUAUUACUGUGAUUUCAAAUUGAAGAAAAUUCGCAUUUAAAAACAUUUCAUUCAUUUAUUCUGAAUGACCUUCUUCUAGUCCACCUGCAGUACCAUCCCAAUCCACAAGGAGGCCACAGCGUACAUUUUGGGAAUUGUUGCUUUAAAGAACAGCUAAAGGUUUGAUAUGUAAAAUUUGAGCAUGUGCUUGCAUUAAGUUUGUUUUGGAGACCAUUUUGCCCUUUAAGGUGAUCAUAGGUUAAUGUUAGCUGUAAACCAUGUAUAAGCUAAGGAUAUUCUACAACCACGUACAGCAGCUACACAGACUUUGACUUCCACAAGUCCUUAUAUUUGCUCCAAAGAAACUUCAUCAGUGCCUCUGAUCUGCUCCUCUACAGCAGCAUCAGUGAGCAACACUAGCUACUAUAAGUUUUUAUUAUUGUGCUAUGAGUUUAUUGAUAUUAACUAACUCCAUUUCUAACAUAACUGUAAUAGUAGUAAUGUUGCUGCUGUAGAGGAGCAGAACAGAGUUACUGAGGCAUUUAGGAGCAAACACCGACCUGAAGCCUUUACAUAAAUGUUAGCGUACAGCUGCAUUUUUCACUCAAAAUGGGUCACAAAACUGUUUAUAUUGGGUCUCCAAUGGGCAGAGAAAAAUACAUAGCGAAAACAUGAUAUGUGAGUUUAUUUUCUUGAUUAAAAACAGAAAAAUGUGUUGCCUGCCAGAGUUAAUAAAUGAAAACUUCCAUAACAGCAUGUGAAAUGUAGUGCAAAGAUUUCGGCUGUCAAACAAAUAACAAGAUGAAAUGCAACUAAAUUAUGCAAGAAGUUAAAGCAGUUUAAAAUGAUGCAACAAGUCAAAUUAUGUAAAGGGUACAAGAUUAAAAUACAGCAAAAAGACAAAAAAAAAAAGGGAUUGACAGUGGAAGAGUAAGUACAAUGUAGAUUUAUGGCAAUGCAUUACAUAUUUUAUAAGUGUAGGCCCUGAGAAGACACCAAAUUUAUGGGUGUCAAACUGAAAAGUCUGAUGUACAUUAGCUUAAGAAUGGUGGCAGCUAACAUCAAUAAACAACCAUCUUCUAGAGCGAAAUAAAUGCCAAUGCAGACUUUAUAUAAGCAGACAUGAUCCUUACAUACUGAACCUUAAGAGAUUAUUAAAUGUUAUUAAAUAAAGAAGAUAUGAGAUGAAUGACUGUACAGUGCGGUAGGAUUUGUAAGAAUGUAAGAUUGGAUAAAAGGUUGUGUUACAUGUGGAAAAUAUCGUUCUGUCGGUCAAUAACCUCAUGAUUUCAGAAAGUGCCUGAGAUCAAUGUGUCUCAACCUCACCAGUCAAGAGGUGAAGGAGAGGAAAACACAAACCCAGUGAGCUUAUUUUUCUGACACUGUCUCACUGUAAGAAGCUGUUUGUGGGAAAACAUGUAACCUGGAUCCACUCUACCGCGCUCAUAACUGGACUGAAUUUCUACAACAUGGCUCCGUUAUUACAGUUUUUAUUCUCAGAUGGGGUGCUCAUUCAUGUUUUAAAGGGAAAAGGAAGCUUAGUAAGCACAUGGAAAAGUCUUACGAAUGUAUUUAUAUGAUGUAAAAGCUGAUUAUUUCUGUUAUCCUUAUUGUUUACUCAUCUUUCCUUAAACUAUGUAAUCUGAACUAAUCUCAUGUUUUAUUUAUGUGUAUGCUAAAUCUAUUUAAAGUCAUUGGAUAGUCUGUUGUGUGUAACAAAUGGAAGGGUUUAAGAGUUUUUCAGCCUGCAGUUUUGUUAAAAAAUAUUUAAAUAAAUACAUCUCAGACCAAA